GACAGAGGUCCCGAGCGUUAGGCGGAAUCACUGGGCUUAAAGCGUGUGUAGGCGGAUCGUUAAGUGCCUUGUGAAAUCCCACGGCUUAACCGUGGAACUGCUUGGCAUACUGGCGGUCUUGAGCCAGCUAGGGGCUACCGGAACAAAUGGUGGAGCGGUGAAAUGCGUAGAUAUCGGGAGGAACACCAGUGGCGAAGGCGGCUUCCUGGCCUGUUCUUGACGCUGAGGCGCGAAAGCUAGGGGAGCAAACGGG
rnacentral:rRNA from 1 species